GAUGAACGCUGGCGGCGUGCCUAAUACAUGCAAGUCGAGCGAACAGACGAGGAGCUUGCUCCUUUGACGUUAGCGGCGGACGGGUGAGUAACACGUGGGUAACCUACCUAUAAGACUGGGAUAACUUCGGGAAACCGGAGCUAAUACCGGAUAAUAUUUCGAACCGCAUGGUUCGAUAGUGAAAGAUGGCUUUGCUAUCACUUAUAGAUGGACCUGCGCCGUAUUAGCUAGUUGGUAAGGUAACGGCUUACCAAGGCAACGAUACGUAGCCGACCUGAGAGGGUGAUCGGCCACACUGGAACUGAGACACGGUCCAGACUCCUACGGGAGGCAGCAGUAGGGAAUCUUCCGCAAUGGGCGAAAGCCUGACGGAGCAACGCCGCGUGAGUGAUGAAGGUCUUCGGAUCGUAAAACUCUGUUAUUAGGGAAGAACAAAAGUGUAAGUAACUGUGCACGUCUUGACGGUACCUAAUCAGAAAGCCACGGCUAACUACGUG
rnacentral:rRNA from 1 species